rnacentral:rRNA from 1 species
AUGCAAAUCGGGUUGGGGAGGGGAAGGCAGAGGGUCAAAUGCACCGUGACGGGGCGUGAUGGCGCCAUGAACAAGGGGAGGAAGAGAAGCUCAGCGCGGGAAGGCCGUGGCCGGGCGGCGGCGGCACCGGCGGGGGAAGAAGCGGGAUGGGGGUGGGCCGGUGCCGGCGGCAGAAGAAGCAAGUUGGGAGUGGGGCGGCGCCGGCGGGGAAGAAGCGGGAUGGGGGGUGGGCCGGUGCCGGCGGCAGAAGAAGAAAGUUGGGAGUGGGGCGGCGCCGGCGGGGAAGAAGCAGGAUGGGGGUGGGGCGGCGGGGGAAGAAGCGGGUUGGGGUGGAACCGGCUCCUCUACCGUGCCGCUGGGCACGGCAGAGUGCCGUGCCUUCUUACGCAACAGGGUGCGCAUAUGGGCCUUCCUGAUGCAUCACGCGGCAGCAGAGAGGGCAAUCCAGAUGCAAGUCGUGCGGCAGGGUCAUAUCCGAGUACGGCAGAGGCUGCCUGCACUGCUAGUGUCACCGCGCCUGGUGCACCGGAAUGUGCAGCCGCUGCCUGGCGGGGCGGGCAGGCGUCGGCUGUGGAGGAGGAGGAAGCGCCGGGGGUGAGCUUCCCGUUGUUCUUGCCGGAGCUGCCGAACAAGCCCAUGGCUAGGGUUUGA